rnacentral:tRNA from 1 species
GGGCUUAUAGCUCAGGUGGUUAGAGCGCACGCCUGAUAAGCGUGAGGUCGAUGGUUCGAGUCCAUCUAAGCCCA